UAUGGACUUUUGUAAGAAAAAGUCUUUUUCCCUUAAAAGUAAUGAAGAACAAACACCAUUUCAGAAUAAUUUUCAGCUUAAAAAAAGUACUUUUUGGCAGAUGGAAAAGUUAAAAAUUUUAACUUUUCUUUUGGCUGAUAAUUUCCAUUUUUAAUCUGUCUUCUCCCCAAAAAACGUUCUUUCCUCUGGUUCUUUGGCUAUACCCAUUCUUUUCACAUUUUCUCUUUCAAAGUUCUUUCCUCUGGUUCUUUGUUCCUCUUCUGCCGCUUCAUUGCUCAAUUGGAGUUUGAUCUCUCUUGUUGAUUUGAUCGCUUUCCUUCUCAUUCAGUAUACUGCACCUAAAAUAGGAUUUCGUUUCAGGAGGAAAUAUUUGUUACUGUGGCCUGUUAUCAUCUUUUCCCUACUUGUUUUUCUUUCACAAGUUGCAUAUCUUAUUAUAUGGGCUGUUGGAAGCUAUAAACAGAGUGUAGGAGAUGCUUGGUGGCUCAAGCUAAUUGGUUUUAUGAUAAUUCAGUCUUAGAGAUCUCCCACUGUGAUCUAUUUUUUGGUUACACAACUUCUAGUGCUAGUAGUUGCAUUGCUUGAUAUACAUGGGAACAGAUUCGGUCUUGUUCCGUAGCGGUAUACUUGUUGGGAUCAUUUCUUAACAGUUGUUGAACAAUUAGGUUUGUAAGUAUUUCCUUAUUUUUCUAAUUGUUUUUUAUGUAGUGAUAUUGUUGCACUAUGUACUCUCCCCACCCAAAACAGGAUCCAUUUAGCAAUCCUAUACACAUUUUUUAGGAUUAACUCAUUGUAUGCAGAGGAUAUGAAUUAGAGCUGAUUUUAUUCACUUUGUUAAAUGAAUUAAAUCAAGUUCAACACUCCUCCCCCAAUUGUCCCUCUUCUAAAGCAGCAGUGAAGCCUUAUUAUUCUCUUCUCAUUUUGUGUCAACAAUAGCACAUGUUUUACCAGUGGAAUAUUUCUCUUGUGAUCUUUGGGGCCUUGUGGAUUGGAGGUGAAAUUAUUGAUCUCUGUAGCCUACUUAAAGCUUAUAAGUUAGCUACUAGAACUUCUAAAGCAUUAUUUUGCCUCAUAUUCAAUUUAGAGUUCUUGUCAAUCUAGUUAAGGGUUUUCAUGUGGUAACAGAACAGACGAGUUUUCUCUGCGAAUAAAUGCUUUGUGUUUCAUGCAGUAUUGAGUUGUAUCCUUGACAACUUAGUAAUAUCCAAUGUAUACACAGACUGCAUUAAUAACAUAUAAUGUGUAUGCCUGGUAGUUUGCUAUUUCGCUGGUUAGCCAACUAAAAUGAUCGCGUUGCUUAUCUGCAUUGCAGCUAGCUUUAUAACUUUUAUAUAUAAAUUUCAGAAAAUUUAACUGGGCAUAUGAGAAUAUUAUUGAUUCAGAAAAUGCGCAUGGUCGAGAAAGUGAUGAUGAUGACGACGACGAUGAUGAUGGUGAUGAUGACGGUGAAUGAAACAAUUCAAGUGGUUUUGAAAUGGAACUAACAAGAGAUGUUAUAGCUUCUAGUUUAAUGAAUUCACUUUAAAUUGUAAAUGCUAUUGUAAAAUUUUUAGUAUUUAUAUUUGGUAUAUAAAUAUUAUCCCUUUUAAAACUUUAAUUCAAAUAUAUGUAAUAUUUUAAUUUGGUAGGUUUA